rnacentral:rRNA from 1 species
UGGGGAAUAUUGCACAAUGGGCGCAAGCCUGAUGCAGCCAUGCCGCGUGUAUGAAGAAGGCCUUCGGGUUGUAAAGUACUUUCAGCGGGGAGGAAGGCGAUAAGGUUAAUAACCUUGUCGAUUGACGUUACCCGCAGAAGAAGCACCGGCUAACUCCGUGCCAGCAGCCGCGGUAAUACGGAGGGUGCAAGCGUUAAUCGGAAUUACUGGGCGUAAAGCGCACGCUGGCGGUCUGUCAAGUCGGAUGUGAAAUCCCCGGGCUCAACCUGGGAACUGCAUUCGAAACUGGCAGGCUAGAGUCUUGUAGAGGGGGGUAGAAUUCCAGGUGUAGCGGUGAAAUGCGUAGAGAUCUGGAGGAAUACCGGUGGCGAAGGCGGCCCCCUGGACAAAGACUGACGCUCAGGUGCGAAAGCGUGGGGAGCAAACA